GCAGGGUAUGUUUUGCUGUAAAUGAGAGUUACACUAUUUCGGCAAAAUGUACUCUUGCAA
rnacentral:pre_miRNA from 1 species